GCGGAUGUGGUGGAAUUGGCAGACACGAUAGAUUUAGGUUCUAUUGUCCAUGACGUGCAGGUUCAAGUCCUGUCAUCCGCA
rnacentral:tRNA from 1 species